GGAAGCGUGGCCGAGUGGUUUAAGGCAACGGUCUUGAAAACCGUCGAUGGGCGACUAUCCGUGAGUUCGAAUCUCACCGCUUCCGCCA
rnacentral:tRNA from 1 species